rnacentral:rRNA from 1 species
AUUCCCGUUGAUUCUGCGGGAGAUUGCUGCUAUUGAGAUUCGACUUAACCAUGCAAGUUUGGGGUUUCUUCGGAAACACCGGCGUAUCGCUCAGUAACACGUCGAUAACCUACCCUUAGAUUAAGGAUAACCUUGGGAAACUGAGACUAAACCUUGAUAGGGGAUUUCUACUGGAAUGUAGUUUCCUUUAAACGUGAGGUCUAAGGAUGGGUCGGCGCCUGAUUAGGCAGUUGGCGAGGUAAAGGCUCACCAAACCUAUAAUCAGUAGGGGUCUUGAGAGAGAUAGCCCCGAGAAGGACACUGAGAAACUGGUCCUAGCCCUAAGGGGUGCAGCAGGUGCGAAAACUUUACAAUGCACGAAAGUGUGAUAAGGGAAUCUCAAGUGCUUUACUUUUUGGUAAAGCUUUUGUUAAGUGUAAAUAGCUUAACGAAUAAGUGGUGGGCAAGACCGGUGCCAGCCGCCGCGGUAACACCGGCGCCACGAGUGGUGAUCACGUUUAUUGGGUCUAAAGGGUCCGUAGCCGGUUUGGUAAAUUCCUUGUAAAAUUGUUAGGCUUAACUUAACAACUUGCAAAGAACACUACCUUACUAGGAACUGGGAGAAGGCAGAAGUAUUUUGGGGGGAGUGGUAAAAUAUUAUAAUCCUCAAAGGACUACCUGUGGCGAAGGCAUCUGUCUAGAACAGGUUCGACGGUGAUGGACGAAAGCUAGGGGAGCGAUCCGGAUUAGAUACCCGAGUAGUCCUAGCUGUAAACGCUGUGAGCUAUGUGUUGCAUGUUCUUAGAGGACGUGCAGUGCCGAAGCGAAGGUGUUAAGCUCACCACCUGGGAAGUACGGUCGCAAGACUGAAACUUAAAGAAAUUGGCGGGGGCUUACUACAAGGGGUGCGGCGUGCGGUUUAAUUGAACUCUACGCCGGAAAUCUCACCAGGAGCGACGGCAGAAUGAAGGUCAGAUUGAAGGUUUUACCUAACGAGCCGAGAGGUGCUGCAUGGCCGCCGUCAGUUCGUGCCGUGAGGUGUCCUGUUAAGUCAGGCAACGAACAAGAUCUAUAUCUACAGUUGCCAUCGUCUCAUUUGAGGAACGAGCACACUGUAGAGACUGCCUUGGAAACAAGGAGGAAGGUUUAGGCCACGGUAGGUCUGUAUGGCCCGAAUCUCCUGGGCUACACGCGCGCAACAAUGGUAAGGACAAUGGGAUACAACUCCGAAAGGAGAAGUUAAACCUCAAAACCUUAUCUUAGUUUAGAUUGAGGACUGUAACUCGUCCUCAUGACAACGGAAUCCCUAGUAAUCAGAAUUCAACACGUUCUGGUGAAUACGUCCCUUGGCCUUGCACACACCGCCCGUCAAACCAACCGAGCAGGGCUUAGGUGAGGAAUAUUCCUAAGAAUAUUUCGAACCUAUGUUCAGUAAGGUGGGUUAAGUCGUCACAAGGUAGCCGUAGGGGAACCUGCGGCUGGAUCACCUCCU